GGGUUGUGAGGUUAAGCGACUAAGCGUACACGGUGGAUGCCCUGGCAGUCAGAGGCGAUGAAGGACGUGCUAAUCUGCGAUAAGCGUCGGUGAGGUGAUAUGAACCGUUAUAACCGGCGAUUUCCGAAUGGGGAAACCCAGUGUGAUUCGUCACACUAUCAUUAACUGAAUCCAUAGGUUAAUGAGGCGAACCGGGGGAACUGAAACAUCUAAGUACCCCGAGGAAAAGAAAUCAACCGAGAUUCCCCCAGUAGCGGCGAGCGAACGGGGAGCAGCCCAGAGCCUGAAUCAGUGUGUGUGUUAGUGGAAGCGUCUGGAAAGGCGCGCGAUACAGGGUGACAGCCCCGUACACAAAAAUGCACAUACUGUGAGCUCGAUGAGUAGGGCGGGACACGUGGUAUCCUGUCUGAAUAUGGGGGGACCAUCCUCCAAGGCUAAAUACUCCUGACUGACCGAUAGUGAACCAGUACCGUGAGGGAAAGGCGAAAAGAACCCCGGCGAGGGGAGUGAAAAAGAACCUGAAACCGUGUACGUACAAGCAGUGGGAGCACGCUUCGGCGUGUGACUGCGUACCUUUUGUAUAAUGGGUCAGCGACUUAUAUUCUGUAGCAAGGUUAACCGAAUAGGGGAGCCGAAGGGAAACCGAGUCUUAACUGGGCGUUAAGUUGCAGGGUAUAGACCCGAAACCCGGUGAUCUAGCCAUGGGCAGGUUGAAGGUUGGGUAACACUAACUGGAGGACCGAACCGACUAAUGUUGAAAAAUUAGCGGAUGACUUGUGGCUGGGGGUGAAAGGCCAAUCAAACCGGGAGAUAGCUGGUUCUCCCCGAAAGCUAUUUAGGUAGCGCCUCGUGAAUUCAUCUCCGGGGGUAGAGCACUGUUUCGGCAAGGGGGUCAUCCCGACUUACCAACCCGAUGCAAACUGCGAAUACCGGAGAAUGUUAUCACGGGAGACACACGGCGGGUGCUAACGUCCGUCGUGAAGAGGGAAACAACCCAGACCGCCAGCUAAGGUCCCAAAGUCAUGGUUAAGUGGGAAACGAUGUGGGAAGGCCCAGACAGCCAGGAUGUUGGCUUAGAAGCAGCCAUCAUUUAAAGAAAGCGUAAUAGCUCACUGGUCGAGUCGGCCUGCGCGGAAGAUGUAACGGGGCUAAACCAUGCACCGAAGCUGCGGCAGCGACACUAUGCGUUGUUGGGUAGGGGAGCGUUCUGUAAGCCUGUGAAGGUGUACUGUGAGGUAUGCUGGAGGUAUCAGAAGUGCGAAUGCUGACAUAAGUAACGAUAAAGCGGGUGAAAAGCCCGCUCGCCGGAAGACCAAGGGUUCCUGUCCAACGUUAAUCGGGGCAGGGUGAGUCGACCCCUAAGGCGAGGCCGAAAGGCGUAGUCGAUGGGAAACAGGUUAAUAUUCCUGUACUUGGUGUUACUGCGAAGGGGGGACGGAGAAGGCUAUGUUGGCCGGGCGACGGUUGUCCCGGUUUAAGCGUGUAGGCUGGUUUUCCAGGCAAAUCCGGAAAAUCAAGGCUGAGGCGUGAUGACGAGGCACUACGGUGCUGAAGCAACAAAUGCCCUGCUUCCAGGAAAAGCCUCUAAGCAUCAGGUAACAUUAAAUCGUACCCCAAACCGACACAGGUGGUCAGGUAGAGAAUACCAAGGCGCUUGAGAGAACUCGGGUGAAGGAACUAGGCAAAAUGGUGCCGUAACUUCGGGAGAAGGCACGCUGAUACGUAGGUGAAGUCCCUCGCGGAUGGAGCUGAAAUCAGUCGAAGAUACCAGCUGGCUGCAACUGUUUAUUAAAAACACAGCACUGUGCAAACACGAAAGUGGACGUAUACGGUGUGACGCCUGCCCGGUGCCGGAAGGUUAAUUGAUGGGGUCAGCGCAAGCGAAGCUCUUGAUCGAAGCCCCGGUAAACGGCGGCCGUAACUAUAACGGUCCUAAGGUAGCGAAAUUCCUUGUCGGGUAAGUUCCGACCUGCACGAAUGGCGUAAUGAUGGCCAGGCUGUCUCCACCCGAGACUCAGUGAAAUUGAACUCGCUGUGAAGAUGCAGUGUACCCGCGGCAAGACGGAAAGACCCCGUGAACCUUUACUAUAGCUUGACACUGAACAUUGAGCCUUGAUGUGUAGGAUAGGUGGGAGGCUUUGAAGUGUGGACGCCAGUCUGCAUGGAGCCGACCUUGAAAUACCACCCUUUAAUGUUUGAUGUUCUAACGUAGACCCGUGAUCCGGGUUGCGGACAGUGUCUGGUGGGUAGUUUGACUGGGGCGGUCUCCUCCUAAAGAGUAACGGAGGAGCACGAAGGUUGGCUAAUCCUGGUCGGACAUCAGGAGGUUAGUGCAAUGGCAUAAGCCAGCUUGACUGCGAGCGUGACGGCGCGAGCAGGUGCGAAAGCAGGUCAUAGUGAUCCGGUGGUUCUGAAUGGAAGGGCCAUCGCUCAACGGAUAAAAGGUACUCCGGGGAUAACAGGCUGAUACCGCCCAAGAGUUCAUAUCGACGGCGGUGUUUGGCACCUCGAUGUCGGCUCAUCACAUCCUGGGGCUGAAGUAGGUCCCAAGGGUAUGGCUGUUCGCCAUUUAAAGUGGUACGCGAGCUGGGUUUAGAACGUCGUGAGACAGUUCGGUCCCUAUCUGCCGUGGGCGCUGGAGAACUGAGGGGGGCUGCUCCUAGUACGAGAGGACCGGAGUGGACGCAUCACUGGUGUUCGGGUUGUCAUGCCAAUGGCACUGCCCGGUAGCUAAAUGCGGAAGAGAUAAGUGCUGAAAGCAUCUAAGCACGAAACUUGCCCCGAGAUGAGUUCUCCCUGACCCUUUAAGGGUCCUGAAGGAACGUUGAAGACGACGACGUUGAUAGGCCGGGUGUGUAAGCGCAGCGAUGCGUUGAGCUAACCGGUACUAAUGAACCGUGAGGCUUAACCUUACAACGCCGAAG
rnacentral:rRNA from 1 species